rnacentral:rRNA from 1 species
GCUUAACACAUGCAAGUCGAGGGGCAGCAUGGUCUUUGCUUGCUAAGGCCGAUGGCGACCGGCGCACGGGUGAGUAACACGUAUCCAACCUGCCGUCUACUCUUGGACAGCCUUCUGAAAGGAAGAUUAAUACAAGAUGGCAUCAUGAGUCCGCAUGUUCACAUGAUUAAAGGUAUUCCGGUAGACGAUGGGGAUGCGUUCCAUUAGAUAGUAGGCGGGGUAACGGCCCACCUAGUCUUCGAUGGAUAGGGGUUCUGAGAGGAAGGUCCCCCACAUUGGAACUGAGACACGGUCCAAACUCCUACGGGAGGCAGCAGUGAGGAAUAUUGGUCAAUGGGCGAGAGCCUGAACCAGCCAAGUAGCGUGAAGGAUGACUGCCCUAUGGGUUGUAAACUUCUUUUAUAAAGGAAUAAAGUCGGGUAUGGAUACCCGUUUGCAUGUACUUUAUGAAUAAGGAUCGGCUAACUCCGUGCCAGCAGCCGCGGUAAUACGGAGGAUCCGAGCGUUAUCCGGAUUUAUUGGGUUUAAAGGGAGCGUAGAUGGAUGUUUAAGUCAGUUGUGAAAGUUUGCGGCUCAACCGUAAAAUUGCAGUUGAUACUGGAUAUCUUGAGUGCAGUUGAGGCAGGCGGAAUUCGUGGUGUAGCGGUGAAAUGCUUAGAUAUCACGAAGAACUCCGAUUGCGAAGGCAGCCUGCUAAGCUGCAACUGACAUUGAGGCUCGAAAGUGUGGGUAUCAAACAGGAUUAGAUACCCUGGUAGUCCACACGGUAAACGAUGAAUACUCGCUGUUUGCGAUAUACUGCAAGCGGCCAAGCGAAAGCGUUAAGUAUUCCACCUGGGGAGUACGCCGGCAACGGUGAAACUCAAAGGAAUUGACGGGGGCCCGCACAAGCGGAGGAACAUGUGGUUUAAUUCGAUGAUACGCGAGGAACCUUACCCGGGCUUAAAUUGCAGAUGAAUUACGGUGAAAGCCGUAAGCCGCAAGGCAUCUGUGAAGGCGCUGCAUGGUUGUCGUCAGCUCGUGCCGUGAGGUGUCGGCUUAAGUGCCAUAACGAGCGCAACCCUUGUUGUCAGUUACUAACAGGUUCCGCUGAGGACUCUGACAAGACUGCCAUCGUAAGAUGUGAGGAAGGUGGGGAUGACGUCAAAUCAGCACGGCCCUUACGUCCGGGGCUACACACGUGUUACAAUGGGGGGUACAGAGGGCCGCUACCACGCGAGUGGAUGCCAAUCCCCAAAACCUCUCUCAGUUCGGACUGGAGUCUGCAACCCGACUCCACGAAGCUGGAUUCGCUAGUAAUCGCGCAUCAGCCACGGCGCGGUGAAUACGUUCCCGGGCCUUGUACACACCGCCCGUCAAGCCAUGGGAGCCGGGGGUACCUGAAGUGCGUAAUCGCGAGGAGCGCCCUAGGGUAAAACUGGUGAC